UUCACCGAGAGCCUGCAUUUACCUAAAAAUAAUUUAUUCUUUUUUUUAUUAUUAUUAUACAAAAUGUUUUAUUCAGGUCACAGGGUGAUGUUUGAAUCUGUACCAGCUUGCAUUGGACAGAAGACGGGAAAACCGGGGACAGUCCCUUGGAACUAUCUUAAAAUAUGCCAAGGUUGUUUUCCACAGGCAGUAAUGUGAUCCUCACAAAUCAAAGGAUACAUGUAAACUUGAUUGAGAAUGUGGCCGAAGGAGAAGAGAAAAAAAGGAAGACAUGGAGAGAUGGAACAACAACUCAUGAAGUGCUAACUGACAAAGCUGGAAGAGUAAGAGAGACCACAGAAAGGUGAAGAGACGGGAAUAUGUCCAUUUCAAAAAACAGCCACAGGCUUCAGCCGAGUCUGACAUCUUCUGCUUUAGAAUACUCCUAUGCAGCAAACUGAUGCAAAAUGACGUGCA